CACCUCUCAUUACUCAUCAGUCGGGAUUUAGUACUCACAAAAAAUGGAGAAAAUCGUAUUCAUCACACUUCUAGCAAGCGCAUUCGCGGCCCCGGGAUACUACGUACCCCUAGCCAAGUCAACCCUAACGACCAGCAGUCAAACGGUUGACCACGGCAGUAGCCACAUACUCCACGCACCAUUGAUGGUUCCUCUUGCGAAGACAACAUCAACUCACAGCAACCAAGUUGUCGACCAUGGAAGUACAGCAAUAUACCACACCCCCGCUGUUUACCACGCUCCCGCUGUUUACCACGCUCCUGCCGUUUACCACGCACCCUUACACCAAGUGACCACAGUAGAGCACCACCCAGUCGUCUUCCCCGCCACCUCUAUCUACUCUUACAAGACUCCUGACUCUGCUAUUACUCAUCAUUCCUCGGAAGUACAUGAAACUGUGCCAUAUUAUGCUUACCAUUAAAUUUUAAAUUAUUA